CGGUUCGAGUCCGCUUACCUCCACUGAUUACCACCUCUUCCAUAUUUUGUAGAAGGGAAAUGUUUUGAGUUGUGAUCAAAUUCUGAACGAUUCUAGCUUCCUAAUUAAACUCAUUAAGAUGCUGGACUCAUUGAAUUAAAUUCAUUGUUUUCAGA
rnacentral:misc_RNA from 1 species